rnacentral:rRNA from 1 species
GUACACACCGCCCGUCGCUACUACCGAUUGAUGUUUUAGUGAGAUCUUCGGCUUGGUUUUCCGGCGGCUUUCGGGUCGUUCGGUAUAUAUCGAAAAUGCUCAAACUGUAUAUUUAGGGAAGUAAAAGUCGUAACAAGGUAUUCGUAGGUGAACUGCAGAAGGGUCA